rnacentral:rRNA from 1 species
AUUGAACGCUGGCGGCAUGCUUUACACAUGCAAGUCGAGCGGCAGCGCGGGGGCAACCCUGGCGGCGAGCGGCGAACGGGUGAGUAAUGCAUCGGAACGUACCCUGGAGUGGGGGAUAACGCCGCGAAAGCGGCGCUAAUACCGCAUAUGCUCUGAGGAGGAAAGUGGGGGACCUGCAAGGGCCUCACGCUCUGGGAGCGGCCGAUGUCCGAUUAGCUAGUUGGUGGGGUAAAGGCUUACCAAGGCGACGAUCGGUAGCUGGUCUGAGAGGAUGAUCAGCCACACUGGGACUGAGACACGGCCCAGACUCCUACGGGAGGCAGCAGUGGGGAAUUUUGGACAAUGGGGGCAACCCUGAUCCAGCCAUGCCGCGUGAGUGAAGAAGGCCU